UGUGGUAGGGUUUCCACAAUUUUCCACAGAAUAUAGAACACCCUGCAUAUCUCAAUUCUUCAAUCUAAUCUUGUACUUAUCUAAAAUUCGAAAUACAUUUUUAUUGCGUUACCACUAAUACUUGCGUUCGGUACAAGUCAACAACCCUCCUCGUCCCUAAUUCCCCAUCAAAAAAAAAAGGUCAUCACUUUUUGUGGAAGGGGUCACAAAAUUGUGGAAAUUUUUUUCAAUUUUUUUGUGGAAGAGGAAAAGCUUAUCGCGCGAAAUUGUGGAAGCAUAGUAAAAUGUGCACCCCUGGUCUAACCUUUCUAAUCGACUGGAUCCACAGUGCGCCGGGCGAUGACAAUUAUCGAACCAACACGCGAGAUCCUCGCGGUUGAAUUGUGCGAGGAUCUACCUUCUAGUUUACGCUGUCAGCUUGGACUCGCGUGUUCAUCGACAACUUCACUCCGACGUGAAACUGUGCGUUUUUACCAAAACGGAUUUUAUCGCGUUUAUCAGUCACAAAAAUCGAUACAAUGUUGCGUCAUUUUUACAGUUCGAUUAUCGAUGGCUUCUUAAUUGCCUGAUGUUGAAGCAUUCAGUGAUACCGCAUCCGUUCGGAGCAUGCAGUCUGCUAUACAUGUAUCACCCAAGUGGAAGCCCCAGGCCGUGGAAGCAGUCAUGAAUGGAUUUCGGCAAAACUCGGGGAGCCGGUCCUCCCACUGCGACAACCCCUCCCUCCAGAGCCAGAUCAAAGCCCUGGAAACCCUCUUCCUGACGAAGAAGCAGGAACUCGAGGAGUGCGAGCAGAGGCUCCACACCCUGGAGCACAACCUCGAGAAGCUCUGCGGCCGCGUCAUCUACGAGGACCUCAGCCAAAGCGCCGCCGCCAAGAUCCGCGUGGAGAUAUGCCGCUCGGUCUGCGGGUCCGGACGCCGGUCCGCCGACUCCAACAGACGCGGGGGCCGCAGGGCCAACGGCUUCGACAGCGGCAGGAGCCGGGUCUCCGACUCGGAGGACAACGAGUCGCGGAUCUCCAGGUCCUCGGCGAGCAACGGGAAGCGCGGCGGGUCUUGGAGCGAGAGCGAGGAGCACCCGCCAGUGUCCGGCAUCGGGAGGGGUCGCAGAUAUUCGAGCGUGGACGAAGAGCAAGCGCGAGUGCCCGGCAACGGAAGAACUCGCGGAUACUCGAGCGUGGACGAGGACGCGCUGAGCGAGGAAGAAGAGACUUUCUCGGACGACGAUCGGGCGCUGGCGUACAUCUGCGCGGACGUGACGCUGCGCUCGACGGUCGACGACCUGGCGCGUGGCCUGAGGCCGGAGCACCGGGUCAAGGUGACCACCAGCUCGGAGCGUCUCAUGGAGUCGUGGACGGUGGAGCUGCUCCAGAGGCAGAAGCGCGGGAGACUCCGGGCCGGGGACGUGGUAGUGCUCAUGGUCGGCCGGCUGGACGCUACCAGAAGCCGCGUCUUCGAGCUCCGCGACCAGAUGCAGGUCUUGAUGGCCGGGCUCCGCUCCGAGGUGGCCGUCGUCGUCGUCGGGGUCACCGAGAGGUACGACCUCCACCAGAGCGACAAGAUGAACACCAACAUCAAGAGGUUGAACCACUGGCUCCGGGAGGUCGUCGGUCCGUGGGGGCAUCGGGCCGGGUUCGUGGACGUCGCGCAUCUGGGCCCGGAGAGCUUCAACGGUCAGUUCCUGAACGCGAUCGCUAGGAGGGAUCUGGUGGCCGCCGUCCUGGACCGCGUCCGGAGUGUCCAGCAACGAUGCUUGGCCACCUGCGGGAACUACGGGCGGGAAUAG
rnacentral:lncRNA from 1 species